rnacentral:rRNA from 1 species
UACGAAGGGAGCAAGCGUUAUUCAGAAUGAUUGGGCGUAAAGUGUUCGUAGGCAGCAUUUGUAGUUUUAUAGAAAAAUUGGGUUUAUAACUUAAUUAUUAUUGAAUACUCUUUUGCUAGAGUAAACCAGAGGUAAACAGAAUUUUGUACGGAAGAGUAAAAUCUUAUGAUUUAUGAAGGAAUGUCAAUAGCGCAGGCAGUUUUCUAGGUUUUUUACUGACGCUGAGGAACGAAAGCAUGGGGAUCAAACAGGAUUAGAAACCCCGGUAGU